AUUGAACGCUGGCGGCAUGCCUUACACAUGCAAGUCGAACGGUAACAGGUCUUCGGAUGCUGACGAGAGGCGAACGGGUGAGUAAUGCAUCGGAACGUGCCCAGUAGUGGGGGAUAGCCCGGCGAAAGCCGGAUUAAUACCGCAUACGACCUGAGGGUGAAAGGGGGGGAUCGCAAGACCUCUCGCUAUUGGAGCGGCCGAUGGCAGAUUAGCUAGUUGGUGGGGUAAAGGCCUACCAAGGCAACGAUCUGUAGUUGGUCUGAGAGGACGACCAGCCACACUGGGACUGAGACACGGCCCAGACUCCUACGGGAGGCAGCAGUGGGGAAUUUUGGACAAUGGGCGCAAGCCUGAUCCAGCAAUGCCGCGUGCAGGAAGAAGGCCUUCGGGUUGUAAACUGCUUUUGUCAGGGAAGAAAUCUUCUGGGUUAAUACCUCGGGAGGAUGACGGUACCUGAAGAAUAAGCACCGGCUAACUACGUGCCAGCAGCCGCCGUAA
rnacentral:rRNA from 1 species